AGUGAACGCUGGCGGCGUGCUUAACACAUGCAAGUCGAACGAGAACGGAAUAUAGCUUGCUAUAUUUGUCAGCUAAGUGGCGCACGGGUGAGUAAUGUAUAGAUAACCUGCCCUUAAGAAAGGAAUAACAGUUGGAAACGACUGCUAAUGCCCUAUAUGCCUUUAAUACAUAAGUAUGCAAGGGAAACGCUUUAGUGCUUAAGGAUGGGUCUGUAUGGUAUCAGCUUGUUGGUGAGGUAAUGGCUCACCAAGGCUAUGACGCCUAACUGGUUUGAGAGGAUGAUCAGUCACACUGGAACUGAGACACGGUCCAGGCUCCUACGGGAGGCAGCAGGGGGGAAUAUUGCACAAUGGACGAAAGUCUGAUGCAGCAACGCCGCGUGGAGGAUGACACAUUUCGGUGCGUAAACUCCUUUUAUAUAGGAAGAUAAUGACGGUACUAUAUGAAUAAGCACCGGCUAACUCCGUGCCAGCAGCCGCGGUAA
rnacentral:rRNA from 1 species